AAUGGUAGGAGAGCGUUCUAAGGGCGUUGAAGCAUGAUCGUAAGGACAUGUGGAGCGCUUAGAAGUGAGAAUGCCGGUGUGAGUAGCGAAAGACGGGUGAGAAUCCCGUCCACCGAUUGACUAAGGUUUCCAGAGGAAGGCUCGUCCGCUCUGGGUUAGUCGGGUCCUAAGCUGAGGCCGACAGGCGUAGGCGAUGGAUAACAGGUUGAUAUUCCUGUACCACCUAUAAUCGUUUUAAUCGAUGGGGGGACGCAGUAGGAUAGGCGAAGCGUGCGAUUGGAUUGCACGUCUAAGCAGUAAGGCUGAGUAUUAGGCAAAUCCGGUACUCGUUAAGGCUGAGCUGUGAUGGGGAGAAGACAUUGUGUCUUCGAGUCGUUGAUUUCACACUGCCGAGAAAAGCCUCUAGAUAGAAAAUAGGUGCCCGUACCGCAAACCGACACAGGUAGUCAAGAUGAGAAUUCUAAGGUGAGCGAGCGAACUCUCGUUAAGGAACUCGGCAAAAUGACCCCGUAACUUCGGGAGAAGGGGUGCUCUUUAGGGUUAACGCCCAGAAGAGCCGCAGUGAAUAGGCCCAAGCGACUGUUUAUCAAAAACACAGGUCUCUGCUAAACCGUAAGGUGAUGUAUAGGGGCUGACGCCUGCCCGGUGCUGGAAGGUUAAGAGGAGUGGUUAGCUUCUGCGAAGCUACGAAUCGAAGCCCCAGUAAACGGCGGCCGUAACUAUAACGGUCCUAAGGUAGCGAAAUUCCUUGUCGGGUAAGUUCCGACCCGCACGAAAGGCGUAACGAUUUGGGCACUGUCUCAACGAGAGACUCGGUGAAAUCAUAGUACCUGUGAAGAUGCAGGUUACCCGCGACAGGACGGAAAGACCCCGUGGAGCUUUACUGUAGCCUGAUAUUGAAAUUCGGCACAGCUUGUACAGGAUAGGUAGGAGCCUUUGAAACGUGAGCGCUAGCUUACGUGGAGGCGCUGGUGGGAUACUACCCUAGCUGUGUUGGCUUUCUAACCCGCACCACUUAUCGUGGUGGGAGACAGUGUCAGGCGGGCAGUUUGACUGGGGCGGUCGCCUCCUAAAAGG
rnacentral:rRNA from 1 species